rnacentral:rRNA from 1 species
GACAGAGGUUGCAAACGUUGUUCGGAAUUACUGGGCAUAAAGCGCACGUAGGCGGUCCGUUAAGUCAUGUGUGAAAUCCCCCGGCUCAACCGGGGAAUUGCGCCUGGUACUGGCGGGCUAGAGGUCGAUAGGGGUGAGCGGAACUCCAGGUGGAGCGGUGAAAUGCGUAGAUAUCUGGAGGAACACCGGUGGCGAAAGCGGCUCACUGGAUCGAAACUGACGCUGAGGUGCGAAAGCUAGGGUAGCAAACGGG